GUCGUCUGCGUCGUCGUCGUCCGAAGACACAUUGGUUUCCGGAUAAUAACUUUAGUUUGAGUAAAUAGAUCUUUAUGAUUUUUUUUCAGAAGGUUUAAUACCACAAAAGGAAGGUUGGGAUUGAUUUUAGGGGUGAUGGUCCCAACCGUUUAGGAAUUAGGGGCCCAAAAGGGGCCCAAAACAAGCAUUUUUCUAGUUUCAGGAUAAUAACUUGUGUACAAAUAAUUCAAUUGCUCUGAAAUUAUACUGCAAUGAUUGAAACCACAAGUAGAAGGUUUGGAAUCAUUUAAGGGGUUAUGGGGCCAAA
rnacentral:lncRNA from 1 species